UACAAUGAUAUUAGUGUCUACUUGUCUAA
rnacentral:sRNA from 1 species